rnacentral:rRNA from 1 species
GAUGAACGCUGGCGGCGUGCCUAAUACAUGCAAGUCGAACUUGUCUUUCGAGAUGAGUGGCGAACGGGUGAGUAAUACAUAGGUAACCUGCCUUACAGAGGGGGAUAACCACUGGAAACGGUGGAUAAUACCGCAUGGAUAUAGAGGAAGCAUUUCUUGUGUAUAAAAGGAGCUAAGGCUUCGCUGUGAGAUGGGCCUAUGACGCAUUAGCUAGUUGGUAAGGUAAAAGCUUACCAAGGCGACGAUGCGUAGCUGGACUGAGAGGUUGAACAGCCACACUGGGACUGAGACACGGCCCAGACUCCUACGGGAGGCAGCAGUAGGGAAUUUUCGGCAAUGGGGGGAACCCUGACCGAGCAACGCCGCGUGAGUGAAGAAGGCAUUCGUGUCGUAAAGCGCUGUCAUAGAGGAAGAACGACAAGUGUAGGGAAUGAUACUUGAGUGACGGUACUCUAAGAGGAAGCCACGGCUAACUACGUGCCAGCCGCCGCCGUAACAC